AUGACCUCUACUUUGGGGGAGGUCCACCAUUUCUCCUCUGGAAACAUUAAAACACUGGCUGUGAUUUGCUUCUUUUCAGCUCUCGUAGGUAACAGCCUGGAAGAUGAUAUAACUCCCAGCAGAGCUGAAGUGUUUUCAUCAGAGGGUCAAAGAGAAACUCUGUCCUGUAACUACUCAGUUGCAGCUCAGAACCUGCAGUGGUAUCGACAGGAUCCUGGAUCAGGUCCUCAGUUCCUUCUCCUCAUCACUGUUUCAACAAGUCCAACUGUGGUGGAAGCAGAACCUCCAUACCCUGGACUGACUGUAGAACUGAAGAGGGACAGAAAACAAGUAGAUCUGGAGAUCUCCUCUGCUGCAGUGUCUGACUCUGCUGUGUACUACUGUGCUCUGCAGCCCACAGUGACAGGAAACAGCAAAACUCUGUACAAAAACCUUUGGAGCAAAGACAACGCAAUACUCCACAACGUCCACUAGAGGGCCUCACACACUGUUACACUUCUAUGGUUUGUCAGGAUUCAGUCUGGGUUCUUUGUACAGGUGGAAAUAAAGUAAACAUCACUGUUUUCU